rnacentral:rRNA from 1 species
GAUGAACGCUGGCGGCGUGCCUAAUACAUGCAAGUCGAGCGAACGGACGAGAAGCUUGCUUUUCUGAUGUUAGCGGCGGACGGGUGAGUAACACGUGGAUAACCUACCUAUAAGACUGGGAUAACUUCGGGAAACCGGAGCUAAUACCGGAUAAUAUUUUGAACCGCAUGGUUCAAAAGUGAAAGACGGUCUUGCUGUCACUUAUAGAUGGAUCCGCGCUGCAUUAGCUAGUUGGUAAGGUAACGGCUUACCAAGGCAACGAUGCAUAGGCGACCUGAGGGGGUGAUCGGCCACACUGGAACUGAGACACGGUCCAGACUCCUACGGGAGGCAGCAGUAGGGAAUCUUCCGCAAUAGGCGAAAGCAUGACGGAACAACGCCGCGUGAGUGAUGGAAGUCUUCGGAUCGUAAAACUCUGUUAUUAGGGAAGAACAGAUGUGUAAGUAACUGUGCACAUCUUGACGGUACCUAGUCAGAAAGCCACGGCUAACUACGUG